rnacentral:rRNA from 1 species
UAAUGGGUGAUGGCGUGCCUUUUGUAGAAUGAACCGGCGAGUUACGAUUUGAUGCAAGGUUAAGCAGUAAAUGUGGAGCCGUAGCGAAAGCGAGUCUGAAUAGGGCGUUUAGUAUUUGGUCGUAGACCCGAAACCAGGUGAUCUACCCUUGGUCAGGUUGAAGUUCAGGUAACACUGAAUGGAGGACCGAACCGACUUACGUUGAAAAGUGAGCGGAUGAACUGAGGGUAGCGGAGAAAUUCCAAUCGAACCUGGAGAUAGCUGGUUCUCUCCGAAAUAGCUUUAGGGCUAGCCUCAAGUGAUGAUUAUUGGAGGUAGAGCACUGUUUGGACGAGGGGCCCCUCUCGGGUUACCGAAUUCAGACAAACUCCGAAUGCCAAUUAAUUUAACUUGGGAGUCAGAACAUGGGUGAUAAGGUCCGUGUUCGAAAGGGAAACAGCCCAGACCACCAGCUAAGGUCCCAAAAUAUAUGUUAAGUGGAAAAGGAUGUGGCGUUGCCCAGACAACUAGGAUGUUGGCUUAGAAGCAGCCAUCAUUUAAAGAGUGCGUAAUAGCUCACUAGUCGAGUGACACUGCGCCGAAAAUGUACCGGGGCUAAACAUAUUACCGAAGCUGUGGAUUGUCCUUUGGACAAUGGUAGGAGAGCGUUCUAAGGGCGUUGAAGCAUGAUCGUAAGGACAUGUGGAGCGCUUAGAAGUGAGAAUGCCGGUGUGAGUAGCGAAAGACGGGUGAGAAUCCCGUCCACCGAUUGACUAAGGUUUCCAGAGGAAGGCUCGUCCGCUCUGGGUUAGUCGGGUCCUAAGCUGAGGCCGACAGGCGUAGGCGAUGGAUAACAGGUUGAUAUUCCUGUACCACCUAUAAUCGUUUUAAUCGAUGGGGGGACGCAGUAGGAUAGGCGAAGCGUGCGAUUGGAUUGCACGUCUAAGCAGUAAGGCUGAGUAUUAGGCAAAUCCGGUACUCGUUAAGGCUGAGCUGUGAUGGGGAGAAGACAUUGUGUCUUCGAGUCGUUGAUUUCACACUGCCGAGAAAAGCCUCUAGAUAGAAAAUAGGUGCCCGUACCGCAAACCGACACAGGUAGUCAAGAUGAGAAUUCUAAGGUGAGCGAGCGAACUCUCGUUAAGGAACUCGGCAAAAUGACCCCGUAACUUCGGGAGAAGGGGUGCUCUUUAGGGUUAACGCCCAGAAGAGCCGCAGUGAAUAGGCCCAAGCGACUGUUUAUCAAAAACACAGGUCUCUGCUAAACCGUAAGGUGAUGUAUAGGGGCUGACGCCUGCCCGGUGCUGGAAGGUUAAGAGGAGUGGUUAGCUUCUGCGAAGCUACGAAUCGAAGCCCCAGUAAACGGCGGCCGUAACUAUAACGGUCCUAAGGUAGCGAAAUUCCUUGUCGGGUAAGUUCCGACCCGCACGAAAGGCGUAA